rnacentral:rRNA from 1 species
UACGAAGGGGGCUAGCGUUGCUCGGAAUCACUGGGCGUAAAGGGUGCGUAGGCGGGUUUUUAAGUCAGGGGUGAAAUCCUGGAGCUCAACUCCAGAACUGCCUUUGAUACUGAAGAUCUUGAGUCCGGGAGAGGUGAGUGGAACUGCGAGUGUAGAGGUGAAAUUCGUAGAUAUUAGGAAGAACACCAGUGGCGAAGGCGGCUCACUGGCCCGGUACUGACGCUGAGGCGCGAAAGCGUGGGGAGCAAACAGG